UACGAAGGGGGCAAGCGUUGUUCGGAAUUACUGGGCGUAAAGGGCGCGCAGGCGGCCGAUCAAGUCAGAUGUGAAAGCCCCGGGCUCAACCUGGGAAUAGCAUUUGGGACUGAUUGGCUAGAGUUCGGGAGAGGAGAGUGGAAUUCCCAGUGUAGAGGUGAAAUUCGUAGAUAUUAGGAAGAACACCGGUGGCGAAGGCGGCUCUCUGGACCGACACUGACGCUGAGGCGCGAAAGCGUGGGGAGCAAACAGG
rnacentral:rRNA from 1 species